UCAACUUCUUUGUUAAGAGGCUGAGCACAAGGGCCAAGCUGGGAAAUUAAAGAUUAAGUUCAUUAAGGGAGGAGCUGAUAUUAUGAAUUAUGACAAAAAGGGAUGGUUAGCUGAAGAAAGAUGUGAAGAAAGGGGCAAAGAAUGAGAUUCUGCAAGACUGUUUCCAAACUAGGGCAUAGUACAUGAGAAUGCUUAAAGCCGAAGGUGGGGAAAAGAGAUGACGGGAGCAGUAAAAUAUCUGAGAAGAGCACAGAGACAGAGAGGGAAGAGAAGGUGAAAGUUUUCCCUUUCUUGUAGCUGAGAAGAAGUUUUCUAUGGGAAAGAAAACAAGAGAAAGAAGAAAAGUUGUAAUUGAGAACUUCAGAAUUCCCUGCAGAACAGUGGAUGGCCUGUCACAUUCAAGAACAGGAAUUCUUCCUGUUUUUUCUUGGAACUGCUCUCAGG